CCUACGGGAGGCAGCAGUAAGGAAUAUUGGACAAUGGGCGAAAGCCUGAUCCAGCCAUGCCGCGUGAAGGAUUAAGGUCCUCUGGAUUGUAAACUUCUUUUAUUUGGGACGAAAAAAGGGAAUUCUUUCCCACUUGACGGUACCAAGUGAAUAAGCACCGGCUAACUUCGUGCCAGCAGCCGCGGUAAU
rnacentral:rRNA from 1 species